AAAGGUUAGUAUAUAUUUUCAAUGUAUUUUGAGUUUUUGACCGUUCAACGGUCACAAAGCAAGAGAGAAAGCCAAGCAUCGGAUAUAGUAGCCAACUUUUCUUCGAUUCCGCCAUACCUCGCCUUGCUAAAGUCGGAGGUAGAGGCGGUACUGCUGUAACCCGCCACAGAAAUCGGACGACUCUGUCGGCGGUGGGGCCAAAUUGAAAUGAGAUACAGAGAAGAAAACUGCGGUCAAUCGUCUGCGUCUAUAUCUCGAAUCUCGCAGCAAGAUACGGAUACGAAGGUUUCAGGUUAGUCUGUUUGCCUAUUUGAUUACUCUUAUCUAAUUUAGGGUUUCUAGUAGUUUAUCUUGAUGAAACUCCCAGGGUUGCGAAUUUGACCUAUGGCUGUUCGAAUUAUCAUAGUAACCUGUGCUUUUUUUUUUGUUUGUUCUUUGCGACGACUUGAUGUUGUAAGAAUCAAAAUUUUGUUUGAAGGCAACGGUGAAAGCGUAAUGAGAGCCCAACGAAAUACUAUACAUUAGUCCUAUUUAAAAUACUGAUUCUUGGUUAGUUGAUUUUGGAUUGCCUCGUGAUUAAACAACAGAAAAUAAAGAAUAAGGAAAGUCCAAUUAAUUACUGAAAUCUUCAACUGUGUUCUUACUUUCUAGCUGUUACACCAUAGAAACCUGAUGAAAGAGAUAAAGCAUUUCUCGAACUUCUUUUCAAGUCUUGAUCAAUGGAUUUCUUUCAAAAAUGUUUGAAGGCUUUAACUCGAAUCCAUUGGAUAACGUUGACAUCACUGGGAAAUCUUCUUGACAGGGGCUGUGAUGAAAUCCCACAGUGUACCACAAAACUAUAUCUUUGUUUAUAAUCGAUCUAUUCCUGCAACCCCAAAACACAAUCUUUAAUUCAAGAAACUUUACUUUAAUUAAAAAAAAACACAAAAUUUUCGAAAAACGAAAAGAACCUUCGGCUCCAAACAGCUAAUCCAUCUUUUCCUGUGCUCCUAUCAGCAUAAAACCCUGCAGCCCAUCUCUCGGACUUGUUAUAACUAGUCACCCACACUUGAUACUUAGUGUAAGAAGCUCUAAUUUGUGGAUAAUCAUCAUCCAAUAAUAAAGAGACAGCUGGCUGCCCUGUCAUCAACCGAUACCCAACAUCAUUUCCCAAUUUGGUUUUCUUAUUUGUGUUCACCACUAAAAGCUCGGAUGCCUUUAACCCGAGCCUAAUUCUUGCUUCGUUUUCGGUUUUUGCAGUCUCCUUAACGACAUUCCAGUAACUCUUCCUUGGAGAUGUGUUGACUUUUUUGACUUUUAAGUUUGCUUUUACAAAAGAAUUUUCAUCACCAUCGAUGUCAAGGUCGAGAUAGUAUGUUAUGAAGUGAGAUCAUGGUUGUUUC
rnacentral:lncRNA from 1 species